UUGUACUUCUCGUCUCUUUUUCUCUGCUGCAUUUAUGUGCUACACAAGUGACUCCUGUGUUUGUGCAGACAGGAACAGAUUUACUUCUGGAAGUGAAGGAACCUGUUGUUCUGAAGGAGGCAGAUUUAUUUACAUGGAAUGUCAAUGGCAGUGAUAAUGCUGUGAGACUAGUUCAUGGUGGUAAACCAACCAUUUCCCCAAAUUAUACAUCUAGAGUAGAAUUGUCUGCACAAACUCACUCUCUACUGUUAAAGAACGUACAAAAGGAGGACAGUGGAGUUUACAGAGCACGUGUUUCUGCUGAUAAUAACUCAGAUGUAGCUGAAUACAGCGUCACAGUUCUGGAUCCAGUGUCUGGAGUGAAGCUGACAGUGAAACUCU